CAGCAGCCGCGGGAAUACGUAGGUGGCAAGCGUUGUCCGGAACUAUUGGGCGUAAAGGGCUCGCAGGCGGCUUCUUAAGUCUGAUGUGAAAGCCCCCGGCUCAACCGGGGAGGGUCAUUGGAAACUGGGAAACUUGAGUGCAGAAGAGGAGAGUGGAAUUCCACGUGUAGCGGUGAAAUGCGUAGAGAUGUGGAGGAACACCAGUGGCGAAGGCGACUCUCUGUUCUGUAACUGACGCUGAGGAGCGAAAGCGUGGGGAGCGAACAGGAUUAGAUACCCCAGUAGUCCCUGUCUCUUAUAA
rnacentral:rRNA from 1 species